rnacentral:rRNA from 1 species
GGGCCAGCAGCCGAGGUAAUACCGGCAGCUCAAGUGAUGUCCCAUAUUAUUGGGCCUAAAGCGUCCGUAGCUGGCCGACCAAGUCUCCCGGGAAAUCCACCCGCCCAACGGGUGGGCGUCCGGUAGAAACUGGCCGGCUUGGAACCGGAAGGCUCAGAGGGUACGUCCGGGGUAGGAGUGAAAUCCCGUAAUCCCGGACGGACCACCGAUGGCGAAAGCACUCUGAGAAGACGGCUUCGACAGUGAGGGACGAAAGCUAGGGUCUCAAACCGGAUUAGAAACCCCAGUAGUCC